rnacentral:rRNA from 1 species
CGCAUCUGUGCAUGCAGCAUAUCAAUAAGCGGAGGAAAAGAAACUAACAAGGAUUCCCUUAGUAACGGCGAGUGAAGCGGGAAGAGCUCAAAUUUGAAAUCUUCAAGGUUUUACCUUGACGAAUUGUAGUUUAAAGAAGUGUUUUCUGUUGAAGUUUUGGUAAAAGUUCUUUGGAAUAGGACAUCAUAGAGGGUGAGAAUCCCGUAUUUGACCAUUAUUUUCAGCUGUGUGAUACACUUUCAAAGAGUCGGAUUGUUUGGGAAUGCAGUCCAAAAUGGGUGGUAAAUUUCAUCUAAAGCUAAAUAUUGGCGAGAGACCGAUAGCGAACAAGUACCGUGAGGGAAAGAUGAAAAGAACUUUGAAAAGAGAGUUAAACAGUACGUGAAAUUGUCAAAAGGGAAGCGUUUGACACCAGUGUUGUUUUCUCGAAAAUCAAUUAAAAAGAGUUAGAUUUUGUUGUGUAUUGACCUUAACAGCUUGCAUUUCAAUUUUCUUGCUUUUUUUAAUGCACUUUUCGUUUAACAAGUCGAACAUCAGUUUCUUUUGUUGUAAAAAGGUCAUUGGAAGGUGGCUUUCUUUUCGGAGAAAGUGUUUAUAGCCUUUGACUCCUGCAAUCGGAGAGACUGAGGUCUGCAGCGUAGAUCCUUCAGGGGUUAGAUACAUUUGUGCUAAGUUAUAGCUUUUUAUAGACAACUUGUUGACUAUGAUUAGUCUUGUAGCUUACUCGCUUAUGCUAUUUUACCUACGCUUAGGAUGUUGAUGUGAUACUGCGAGCA